rnacentral:ncRNA from 1 species
GCCGAGGAGCGUUGCAACAGGAGUCAAGGACUUCCUGCCAGGCUCGGCCAGUGUCAGUCAUUCAAUGCAACUGCGCUCGGU